rnacentral:rRNA from 1 species
GAUGAACGCUGGCGGCGUGCCUAAUACAUGCAAGUCGAGCGAAUGGAUUAAGAGCUUGCUCUUAUGAAGUUAGCGGCGGACGGGUGAGUAACACGUGGGUAACCUGCCCAUAAGACUGGGACAACUCCGGGAAACCGGGGCUAAUACCGGAUAACAUUUUGAACCGCAUGGUUCGAAAUUGAAAGGCGGCUUCGGCUGUCACUUAUGGAUGGACCCGCGUCGCAUUAGCUAGUUGGUGAGGUAACGGCUCACCAAGGCAACGAUGCGUAGCCGGCCGGAGAGGGGAGUCGGCCACACUGGGACUGGGACCCGGCCCAGACUCCUACGGGAGGCAGCAGUAGGGAAUCUUCCGCAAUGGACGAAAGUCUGACGGAGCACCGCCGCGUGAGUGAUGAAGGCUUUCGGGUCGUAAAACUCUGUUGUUAGGGAAGAACAAGUGCUAGUUGAAUAAGCUGGCACCUUGACGGUACCUAACCAGAAAGCCACGGCUAACUACGUGCCAGCCGCCGCAGUAA